AUAAGACGAACGGUCAAACAUGUGAUAAAAAGUCAACGGCGUCAAACAUUUCAAAACGGAUGGAGUAUUAAAUAAUAAAAUAGAGUUUAUAUACAUCGAAGAAAAAAAUAAAAAAAAUAUUUACAAGUGGAUUAGAAACGAGAGUCUAGCCAUGAUUGAAAUGGGGGUCUGUCUUCUUCCUUCACUCUUUGCAUAAGAAGAGCGAAAUUUUCCUUAAAGGCCGAUUUCCAAUGAUUGAGAGAUAUGGCAAUAUUGUCAAAAAUAAGAGCAUUUCGUGAGGACCAUAUCUGCCAGUAUGCUGUGCCUAUUACCUCAACAAAGAAUGGCCGGUUAAAAACAUGAUAGGCUGACUGAAUCAUUUGCAGAAAUUCCAAAUCCUCAUCCCAGCUGACACCAAGGAGAUUCCUGCAUGAUUUGGCAAAUGGGCAAGAGAAAAACAUGUGCACCAUAUCUUCCAAAACCCCUGAAGUACACAUUUUACAGGAAGGGCCAUCUUGGACAUGCAAUUGUCGCCUUUGAAGCAUAUCUCGUGUGUUUAAUCUAUCCAUAAAAAGGAGCUAGAGAAAAGCUUUAACUUUCAUUGUGCACUUACUUUUCCAUAUGGAGGUAAUUGCUGGAUGAGGGGAAAGGUGAGCAAAAAACAAGUCAUAGACCUUCUUUCACUUGAAAAUUGUCCCCCAGGAAUAUGUCCAAAUGUCUGGGUGAUCUGUGAGAUUGAUAUUUUCCAAAAGGCGUGAAAGUUCAGUGAAUUGCUGUAACGCUUGGGGGGAUAGUGGCAAAUUGAAAUUUUCUGUCACAUCAUUCUGAACAUAAGUUUAUACUGUGAUACCUUCAUUGAUAGCAAAGGAAAAUAAUGUUGAGAAAGCAUUUUGAGGCAAGUCAUCUGUCCAUGGGUCUUUCCAGAAAAGAGCCAAAUCUCCUGUGUUUAUCUGGAUUGUACUAACCCCUCUGAAGAUUGGGAUUAAACGAAAGAUAUCUUUCCACCAAAAUGAUCCUCUUUCCUGCAGGGCAUGCGGUGGCACCGAGUUGUUACUGUAGUAUGCAUUCCAAAUGAGCUUCACCCAAGGCUGCCAGGGACAGAGACCUAGCAUCAACUUCUGAAGUCUCUAAUGUUAAUAUCAACUUCUGAGAGUGAUAUUAAUUACUUCCAGCAGCAGCAGGAGUACCGUCUCUAAUGUUUUUCCUGCAUUGGAGUCUCUGAAGUUCAGGGACAUGGGAGCCUGGGAGGAAUGGUCAGAAUUCAAGGAUGAACACUUCCCACAGCUCAAGUAUCUCAGCAUUGUUAGGUGUGCAAAGCUGACGGUGCUGCCCAACUUCACUUCAGGACCAAAACAGAGAAUCAGGAGUUGUGAGAAACUGCUCCAGCCUCUAUGUCAGAUAAUUGCUCAUCAAUCAUCACUCACGACCAAGACAAACUAAAUUAUAUGAAACGAGGAUUAGUGUUUCUGCGCUCAUAAACAGGGUGAAUGAAGUAUUUCUUUGAUUUUUCAUAAUAGCUUUGAAUAUACGGCGGAAUUUGAUGAAGUACAUACCACCACCAAGUGAACUGUCAUAUGCAUGCAUGGCAGAAGGUAAUAUUUCAAUCAUAGAAGCUUCCUGUUCAUACAGUAGGUAGAACAUCGGAAGUGGAGGGAGGGCAUCCAUUAUUGUAAAUGCUCAUGAAUUGAUGCUAUUUAGCUUAACAAUCUUAUUUCAGAUAGGUUGUUAUUUGCAGUUACAUUCUAUAGUGUCUUCAGGACAAUAUUCAGCCAAGUUUGCUUACAAUUCCUUCCAAGGUGCCACUCUAUUCAGGCCAUGGGAACGUAGUUGAAAAGUGUCACUUUUUCAUGUGGCUUGUCGUGCAUAAUUGGUGCUGGAUCGUCUUGGCCGACGAGUUCUGCCACACCCGGAUCAUUGUCCUCAUUGUGACCAACAGGACGAAACAAUUGAUCACUUGCUUACAAACUGUCUCUUCGCGAGACAAUUUUGGUACUCCCUCCUACAGCGGUUUGGCCUGAAUUCUUUGCCCCCCUUGAAUGACGAUCAAUUUUGAGUGGUGAAACAGGAUCAAUGAGGCAACUAAUGGUUCGGUGCAAAAUGGACUUAAUUCUAUAGUAAUUCUUGGUGUUUGGACGUUUUGGAAGCAUCGGAACCGUUGUGUUUCUGAUGGGGUUAAUCCUAACUUGGCCAGUGCUCUUAUUCUUGCUGAGGAGAAAGGACGGCUGUGGUGUUUGGCCAGGGCUCGGGGGCUAUCCUUUUAUAUUGCCAAAGUGUUGGGUGGUUAGUCUCAGAUCAUGGUUUGGUUUGUGGUUGUGGUUGUGGUUGGGUUUGCGACAUACAUGGUUCCUAGAACUUAGUGUGUGUGCGUUUGGUUUUGUACUCGAGGUUCUACCCCCUCUUUCUUCUUCUUAAGAGAUAUUUUACGGUGUAUGCAUUCCAAAAAGGGUAAAGAUCCAAUGCUCCUCAAUCA